UACGUAGGGGGCAAGCGUUGUCCGGAAUCAUUGGGCGUAAAGCGCGCGUAGGCGGCCCGGUAAGUCCGUUGUGAAAGUCAAAGGCUCAACCUUUGAACGCCGAUGGAUACUGCCGGGCUAGAGUCCGGAAGAGGCGAGUGGAAUUCCUGGUGUAGCGGUGGAAUGCGCAGACAUCAGGAGGAACACCAAUAGCGAAGGCAGCUCGCUGGGACGGUACCGACGCUGAGGCGCGAAAGCGCGGGGAGCGAACAGG
rnacentral:rRNA from 1 species